rnacentral:lncRNA from 1 species
UCGCCUUCUUCAAAUCUCCUACUAAUCUGUAGACCCUGCAACGAAUUGGAUAUAUUAAAAGAACUUUCGAUAUCUAAUAUUUAGGUAGUAGAAUCACAAAUAGAGAAAUUACAAGAUGUUAUCAUAUAAUUAUCUUGUCCAGUAACAGGUUGCUUCUUUCUCUUAUUCUAUCUGUUUGAAUCCAGAGAGGUAAUAUACCGAGGACAGUUCC